AGGGUUAGGGUUAGGGUUAGGGAUAGGGUUAGGGUUAGAUUUGAUCCCCGAGGGUUAGGGUUAGGGUUAGGGAUAGGGUUAGGGUUAGAUUUAAUCCCCGAGGGUUAGGGUUAGGGUUAAGAUUCUGGUUAGGCGUUAGUUUAGGGCUAGGGGUCAGUGGUUAGGGGUCAGGGGCUAGUGAUUAGGGGUUGGUGGUUAGUGAUUAGGGGUCAGGGUUAGGCAUUGGAGCCCCUAAUCACACGUAGAUGUAUUUAGCUGUUGUUCCCGUCCAGUGCAUGUGGUCCACCCCGACAGAAACCCGUCUCCUUUCAGAGAGUCGACGUGUGGCCAAGCUCCAGUAUGCCACAUUCUUGUCUGUGUUAAUGUGUCUUUUUGUUUUGUAUGUUAUAGGUUUUGGGGGAGAGGGAGACUUUCCCUCCAAAGAGUCCAGAAACUCCCUGUCCAGCUUAGACAUGAAGUUCUGUUGUGGAGACAGAACAGGAGUUGUCUCCAGCUCCGUGUCUUGGUUUUUCCCUAUGUGUGAGUACUGUUUUGUAUUGUUUGUAGGUGUUUGUUUCUCCUCUUGUUUGUUAUGUUGUGGUUCUGUGUGUGGUGUGUGGAGUGGAGUCUGAGGUGUUUUGGUUUGUUGUGGUGUUUUUUGUUGUUGUUGUUGUGGUGGUGUUUUGUUUUGUUGUUGUUGUUGUGCUUGUGCUGACUGUGUGUUUUGUUGUGGUGUCUGCUUUAUGUUUACAGGUUUGUCCACAAUUUGUGGACCAUCAUUUUGCUGUUUUUCCUGUGCAGCAACAGGCUCAGAAGGGGCUGCCUGUCUGUCCUGUGCUGCAUCAGGCUUCACACAAGAGGCUAUCAGAGCCUCCGCGUGGUCAAUAACCUCCUGAUUUAUGCGAGGCAAGUUCUUUCGAGCCCAUCUUGUGGCCACAGUGAAGGCGCUCUUCCACUCUUGAGGUGGCUCUUUUGAAAGAUCUGCCUUUAUUUUCUCCAGCUCAGCGGUGUAGUGGUCCUGGAGAAUGAGUAGUGUAGUGUGGCCCCAGUUUUUUGCAUUUGCCAUGAUCAAAUCCAGCGUGUAGGUUGUUGGAUUUGCUGGUUUGAUCAUGGCUGCCAAAUUAUCCACCAUACGUGCUAUCAUUUUUGGAUCCUGUUUUUCAGGUCCUGGGGUCACAUUUUGUAGGUGGUGUACCAUUUUAAUGACAGUGUGUAAUUUUCUGACCCUUUGUCCAAAUUGUGGGUCAUGUACUGGUGCUUGAUGAGUACUUGGAUCAGGCAGGGAUCUGCUCUGCUGUGUGUUUUUUUGGUGGUAAUAAGGGCGUCUUUGAGGAAAUCCCCCUGGUUACGGGUGGGGUUUCCCUGGUGUAGCACAGAUGCAUAGGACCCUGAUUGAGGUCCCCAAAAUUUGGGUUGAUAAUCAGGAGGAGGUCCAGGUCUGCGGGGACGUGAGGGAGCAGAGAACCGUGGGGGAGGCACAGGCCGGUUAGGUUUAUGGAUAAAGGGGGACUGUCUCCUAGAAUAGGAGACAGUAGGUGCACGGUCCAUCCCCCUGUUCCCCGUCCCCCACGACCCCGUUUGAUACUGCUGAUUAGUGCGAUACGGGCGUUGACCACGCCUUCUCCCGUAUCGCACUUCAGUCCAUUGUUCUUGGUCGUAGGUCAUGAUUGUUGUUUUAACCUUUUUAAUUAUUUAUUGUUAUUUAUUAAUGUGGUGUAUUUAUGAGACUAUUUAUUUAUUUAUUGGUCUAUCUAUCGAUCUUUUUAAACAAAACCUGUAUCAAAUGAAUUGUUAUUUAUUUUUUUAUGCUUUUUUUUGUUUUUUGUGAAAUAAAAAUGAAAUAAAAUGAAAUAAAAGUGAGAAAACUAAAUAAAAUGUGUAUCAAAAUGAAGAAUAAGUGCCCAGUCGCGACGUUUCGACCGCUGUGGGUCUUCUUCAGGCUAUGGGCACAAAAUAAAAUAUGUCUGGGCUUGUCUGGGCUUGUCUGGGCUUGUUUGAGUCUGUUGGUGAGAUGCUUUCUCUUCAAGAGACAUAUGAGAAGUGGGAGGCUGAACUCUGUGUGCGUGAGUUUUUUAUAGGGGCGUGGGAAAGAGCAGAGCCAGACGGGGGCCUCCGGCCGUCUGGGUGCAGUUAACCCCAUAAAUGCCAACUGAAAUUUAAUGACAUGAAUGUUAAUGGCCAAUUAGAAUUUUUUUACCCUCUUUUAGCUGAUUAAUUUUGAUGAAUUAUAAUUGUAAUGUCCAAUUAGAAAUAUUUAUCUUGUUUUUGACCUAUUUAACUUAAUGAAUUGUAAUUGUAAUGCCCAAUUUUAACGUUUGCCAAUUAGAAUGUAAUGAAUUUGAAUUUUUAAAGAGAGAUGUAAUUAUGUUAUCCCCUAAUUCCCUUUUUAAAUUUUAGAUGAGAUAUCCUUUGUAAUAUUUAUGGUUUUAAUGUCAAUGAUUAAAAAGAAUUAAUAAAAUAAAUUAUUAGUUUUUAAAGGUUAGGGUUAGGGGUCAGGCUAGGGUUAGAGAGGUUUAGGGCCAGGGUUAGGGUAGAUUUGAUCCCGAGGGUUAGGGUUAGGGUUAGGGAUAGGGUUAGGGUUAGAUUUGAUCCCGAGGGUUAGGGUUAGGGUUAGGGAUAGGGUUAGGGUUAGAUUUGAUCCCCGAGGGUUAGGGUUAGGGUUAGGGAUAGGGUUAGGGUUAGAUUUAAUCCCCGAGGGUUAGGGUUAGGGUUAAGAUUCUGGUUAGGCGUUAGUUUAGGGCUAGGGGUCAGUGGUUAGGGGUCAGGGGCUAGUGAUUAGGGGUUGGUGGUUAGUGAUUAGGGGUCAGGGUUAGGCAUUGGAGCCCCUAAUCACACGUAGAUGUAUUUAGCUGUUGUUCCCGUCCAGUGCAUGUGGUCCACUUCUGUCAGAAACCCGUCUCCUUUCAGAGAGUCGACGUGUGGCCAAGCUCCAGUAUGCCACAUUCUUGUCUGUGUUAAUGUGUCUUUUUGUUUUGUAUGUUAUAGGUUUUGGGGGAGAGGGAGACUUUCCCUCCAAAGAGUCCAGAAACUCCCUGUCCAGCUUAGACAUGAAGUUCUGUUGUGGAGACAGAACAGGAGUUGUCUCCAGCUCCGUGUCUUGGUUUUCCCCUAUGUGUGAGUACUGUUUUGUAUUGUUUGUAGGUGUUUGUUUCUCCUCUUGUUUGUUAUGUUGUGGUUCUGUGUGUGGUGUGUGGAGUGGAGUCUGAGGUGUUUUGGUUUGUUGUGGUGUUUUUUGUUGUUGUUGUUGUGGUGGUGUUUUGUUUUGUUGUUGUUGUUGUGCUUGUGCUGACUGUGUGUUUUGUUGUGGUGUCUGCUUUAUGUUUACAGGUUUGUCCACAAUUUGUGGACCAUCAUUUUGUGUUUUUCCUGUGCAGCAACAGGCUCAGAAGGGGCUGCCUGUCUGUCCUGUGCUGCAUCAGGCUUCACACAAGAGGCUAUCAGAGCCUCCGCGUGGUCAAUAACCUCCUGAUUUAUGCGAGGCAAGUUCUUUCGAGCCCAUCUUGUGGCCACAGUGAAGGCGCUCUUCCACUCUUGAGGUGGCUCUUUUGAAAGAUCUGCCUUUAUUUUCUCCAGCUCAGCGGUGUAGUGGUCCUGGAGAAUGAGUAGUGUAGUGUGGCCCCAGUUUUUUGCAUUUGCCAUGAUCAAAUCCAGCGUGUAGGUUGUUGGAUUUGCUGGUUUGAUCAUGGCUGCCAAAUUAUCCACCAUACGUGCUAUCAUUUUUGGAUCCUGUUUUUCAGGUCCUGGGGUCACAUUUUGUAGGUGGUGUACCAUUUUAAUGACAGUGUGUAAUUUUCUGACCCUUUGUCCAAAUUGUGGGUCAUGUACUGGUGCUUGAUGAGUACUUGGAUCAGGCAGGGAUCUGCUCUGCUGUGUGUUUUUUUGGUGGUAAUAAGGGCGUCUUUGAGGAAAUCCCCCCUGGUUACGGGUGGGGUUUCCCUGGUGUAGCACAGAUGCAUAGGACCCUGAUUGAGGUCCCCAAAAUUUGGGUUGAUAAUCAGGAGGAGGUCCAGGUCUGCGGGGACGUGAGGGAGCAGAGAACCGUGGGGGAGGCACAGGCCGGUUAGGUUUAUGGAUAAAGGGGGACUGUCUCCUAGAAUAGGAGACAGUAGGUGCACGGUCCAUCCCCCUGUUCCCCGUCCCCCACGACCCCGUUUGAUACUGCUGAUUAGUGCGAUACGGGCGUUGACCACGCCUUCUCCCGUAUCGCACUUCAGUCCAUUGUUCUUGGUCGUAGGUCAUGAUUGUUGUUUUAACCUUUUUAAUUAUUUAUUGUUAUUUAUUAAUGUGGUGUAUUUAUGAGACUAUUUAUUUAUUUAUUGGUCUAUCUAUCGAUCUUUUUAAACAAAACCUGUAUCAAAUGAAUUGUUAUUUAUUUUUUUUUGCUUUUUUUUUUUUUUUUUUGUGAAAUAAAAAUGAAAUAAAAUGAAAUAAAAGUGAGAAAACUAAAUAAAAUGUGUAUCAAAAUGAAGAAUAAGUGCCCAGUCGCGACGUUUCGACCGCUGUGGGUCUUCUUCAGGCUAUGGGCACAAAAUAAAAUAUGUCUGGGCUUGUCUGGGCUUGUCUGGGCUUGUUUGAGUCUGUUGGUGAGAUGCUUUCUCUUCAAGAGACAUAUGAGAAGUGGGAGGCUGAACUCUGUGUGCGUGAGUUUUUUAUAGGGGCGUGGGAAAGAGCAGAGCCAGACGGGGGCCUCCGGCCGUCUGGGUGCAGUUAACCCCAUAAAUGCCAACUGAAAUUUAAUGACAUGAAUGUUAAUGGCCAAUUAGAAUUUUUUUACCCUCUUUUAGCUGAUUAAUUUUGAUGAAUUAUAAUUGUAAUGCCCAAUUAGAAUUUUUAUGCUCUUUUUAACUUAUUUAAUUAAUGAAUUGUAAUUGUAAUGCCCAAUUUUAACGUUUGCCAAUUAGAAUGUAAUGAAUUUGAAUUUUUAAAGAGAGAUGUAAUUAUGUUAUCCCCUAAUUCCCUUUUUAAAUUUUAGAUGAGAUAUCUCUUUGUAAUAUUUAUGGUUUUAAUGUCUAAUGGAUUAAAAAGAAUUAAUUAAAAUAAAUUAUUAGUUUUUAAAGGUUAGGGUUAGGGGUCAGGGCUAGGGUUAGAGAGGUUAGGGUUAGGGCGGGUUAGGGUUAGAUUUGAUCCCCGAGGGUUAGGGUUAGGGUUAGGGAUAGGGUUAGGGUUAGAUUUGAUCCCCGAGGGUUAGGGUUAGGGUUAGGGAUAGGGUUAGGGUUAGAUUUAAUCCCCGAGGGUUAGGGUUAGGGUUAGGGAUAGGGUUAGGGUUAGAUUUGAUCCCCGAGGGUUAGGGUUAGGGUUAGGAUUCUGGUUAGGCGUUAGUUUAGGGCUAGGGGUCAGUGGUUAGGGGUCAGGGGCUAGUGAUUAGGGGUUGGUGGUUAGUGAUUAGGGGUCAGGGUUAGGCAUUGGAGCCCCUAAUCACACGUAGAUGUAUUUAGCUGUUGUUCCCGUCCAGUGCAUGUGUGGUCCACCCCUGACAGAAACCCGUCUCCUUUCAGAGAGUCGACGUGUGG